UUCCUUGCCAACUACCUGUUUAGUGUGAAACUUUGUGAAUGCGUAGGGUGGCUUACUCUACUGUUGGCUUUAGUUUAGUUACCGCAUGAUGAUCUGUUCACAUAACGUUCCGCGUUUGAUUACUUUGCGUUAUUGCGGCAGGUAACGGGCUGCCUACUAACUAGCAUGGAAAUGAAUUAGCUGAAUGUUAGCUCACUGGGCAAACUGGAUCUCUUAGCGUUAUACUAACUGACUUCUCAGUAAAUGUGACAAACACGCACUCUGGCUCUUCAGCCUUUUUUUACAUCCGAAAACGAUUUAAUUAACUCUGAGGCCUGUGUUCAACCAUAAUGGAAUUAAAGAUACGGGGGAAUUGUCUUGCUCUUUAAAUUUUGGUCCAGGAUGAGGCCUGUAGGUCGGGCUUUCGCCGGAAUAAAGUAGCUGCGCUUCACUGUCUGUGUGAGAACCACAGUCACCCGCUGGAGCGAGGGGAACCAGAAGCUGCAAGGAAAAGCGAUGGAAGUAGACCAGUGCGCAGGCGCAACUGCUGGAAGCGGAACAAAUCUUCUACGUAGAUUAAAUAGCGCCCCCAUGAUCAGCGGUGUCUGCGACGGAAUAAUGGUGAUCAGCCCAUCCAGUUCAGCUCGCUGUCGCCGGAGCAGCAGCGUGUGACGGUCUGUAAACCGAAGCUUCCCUGUGCGGGGGAUUCCACUGCCCCACUUUCCACUGAUAGUGAGAAGCCAGAUCAGAAAUGACAGGAGGAGAGUAUGGCGCUCAGUCUGAGAGGAAAUGUUCAUGAACUGAGUCACUUGUAUGACCAAGAAUUGCUUGGAGUCCGUUCUCUGGAUGGUGGCAUGACACCUAAUUCAUCCCCAAGUCCAACUAGAAGAUUCAGAGGCUAUAAGAUGGCUGCCUUUAACUACAAUGAAAAGAAAAGUAGUUCAAAGACAGAUCUGUGGUUACCCAGGUGCCUACGUGGUUGCAGGUGGAAUCAGGCAAAAAAGGCUCUCUUAAAAGAGGAAAAGAGUGUGAUGGACCCCCCAAAAAGCUGUUUGUCGCUGGAGUAACCAACCCCCCCCCCCCCCCCCCACAUC